rnacentral:rRNA from 1 species
GAUGAACGCUCGCUACAGGCUUAACACAUGCAAGUCGCGGGGCAGCAUGGGGGUUGCUUGCAAUCCCCGAUGGCGACCGGCGCACGGGUGAGUAACGCGUAUCCAACCUGCCCUUCACCACGGGAUAACCCGGCGAAAGUCGGACUAAUACCGUAUGUUGUCCAUUGACGGCAUCCGAUUUGGACGAAAGGUUUGGCGGUGAAGGAUGGGGAUGCGUCCGAUUAGCUGGACGGCGGGGUGACGGCCCACCGUGGCGACGAUCGGUAGGGGUUCUGAGAGGAAGGUCCCCACACUGGAACUGAGACACGGCCCAGACUCCUACGGGAGGCAGCAGUGAGGAAUAUUGGUCAAUGGGCGUAAGCCUGAACCAGCCAAGUAGCGUGCAGGAUGACGGCCCUAUGGGUUGUAAACUGCUUUUAUGCGGGGAUAAAGUGGCCCACGUGUGGGUUUUUGCAGGUACCGCAUGAAUAAGGACCGGCUAAUUCCGUG